UACAGAGACUGCAAGCGUUAUUCGGAUUCACUGGGCGUAAAGGGUGCGAAGGCGGUUGGGUGUGUCAGAUGUGAAAUCCCGAGGCUUAACCUCGGAACUGCGUCUGAAACUACUCGACUAGAGUACUGGAGAGGGUAACGGAAUUCACGGUGUAGCAGUGAAAUGCGUAGAUAUCGUGAGGAACACCAGAGGCGAAGGCGGUUACCUGGACAGUUACUGACGCUCAGGCACGAAAGCAUGGGGAGCAAAAGGG
rnacentral:rRNA from 1 species